rnacentral:rRNA from 1 species
CAGCCGCCGCGGGAAUACGAAGGGGGCUAGCGUUGCUCGGAAUGACUGGGCGUAAAGGGCGCGUAGGCGGAUUGUUUAGUUAGGCGUGAAAUUCCUGGGCUUAACCUGGGGACUGCGCUUAAUACAGGCAGUCUAGAGUGAGGAAGAGGGUUGUGGAAUUCCCAGUGUAGAGGUGAAAUUCGUAGAUAUUGGGAAGAACACCGGUGGCGAAGGCGGCAACCUGGUCCUUGACUGACGCUGAGGCGCGAAAGCGUGGGGAGCAAACAGGAUUAGAUACCCGCGUAGUCCCUGUCUCUUAUAC